UACGGAGGAUGCGAGCGUUAUCCGGAUUUAUUGGGUUUAAAGGGUGCGUAGGCGGUCCGUUAAGUCAGCGGUAAAAUUGCGGGGCUCAACCCCGUCGAGCCGUUGAAACUGUCAGACUUGAGUUGGCGAGAAGUACGCGGAAUGCGCGGUGUAGCGGUGAAAUGCAUAGAUAUCGCGCAGAACUCCGAUUGCGAAGGCAGCGUACCGGCGCCACACUGACGCUGAGGCACGAAAGCGUGGGGAUCAAACAGG
rnacentral:rRNA from 1 species